AUUAUCUAGAAAGGAUAAGAAAAGAGGGCCAAAUUGGACCCUGGAAGAAAAGGAUGUAAUCUUUGAGUAUGCCGGGCUAGUUCAAACCACUAAAAUGAACUGGGGAGAAAUUGCUGACAGGGUGAACAGGAUUGGAUGGUAUGGCCGAGUAGCGAUGAAGUAAAAAAAAAGAAAUGGACAGAUAUGAGGGUAUUAAAUAAAAAAAACAGAUCUACUUUGUUUUCACUAGCCGCGUCAAUGUUUGUUUCCCAGCAUUUAGUUCUUACAAAGUUUCCACUCGCCAAGCCA